UAUGAACUUCCAAAAUGCCACUAAAAUCGUAAACUUUUGUUUGACUUUUGAUAAAAUGGUCAAGUUUUGUUGACUUUGCCAUUUUAAGCAUGUCGUUAAGUUUUCGUUAAACAAAUAACAGGUAGAGUCGAACUAGUGACCUU
rnacentral:sRNA from 1 species